rnacentral:lncRNA from 10 species
GUCAUCAGCAGCAAGAUGGGCAUUGUCAGUCUGCAGAACGCAUUGUCCACAAUAUUUGUGAAGAUCUGAGCCCUCAGGUCCUCAAUGGUCUUGAAAUAAUGGCUCCAGUCUCUGACCUGGGGUCCCUGCUUCUCCAGGUGCUCCCGGAUUUUGCUCUCUAGCCUCCGGUUCUCGGUCUCCAGGCUCCUCACUCUGUCCAGUUUUCCUGACUCUGAUUCUGCGUGGGACAACCAGUGAAAAUUGCAGGUGAAGAGAAGAAAUGCGUAUUUAUUCCUCCACUGGGAAAAAAAAUACCAUCCAAAGCUACAUGACUUGAGGUAAAUUAAUUUGCUUAUUUAGGCAAUUAUUUAAGCUCAGUUUACUCACCAAUAAAAUGAUAACACCUACCACAAAAAAUUGUUAGCACAUAAAAUGAUUAUAGAUUAAUUCAUGUAUUUUCCAGUCCUUGGAAAUGCAGAUUCCCUAUGUGGUGUUGGUCAAUGGUUAAUGCCUGUUGUUCUGGCCAGGGAUUUUUGAUCUGCCAGCUGUGAACAGUUUGUCUUCAUUCAUUCAUCUUUAAAUUCUUACUUAUUAAUUGACAACUAAGUACCAGGUUCUAUUCUAGGCAUUGGGAAUGUUUCUUUAAAAGUUUCUAAAAAAAAAAAUAAAAUAAAAGGUUGGAUCUCUGAGAUAUAUUAUUAAGUGAACCAAAGGAAGUUCCAACACAACAUGUAUAGUAUGAUACCUUUUGUAUAACAUUAUGUAUAUAUCAUAUAGAGAUAUGUAUAUAUCUGGCCAGGCAUGGUGGUAUGUGCCUAUAAUCUUAACUACCUGGGAGGCUGAGGCUGAAGGAUCUUUUGAGGUCACAGGUUUAGGCCAGCCUGGACAAUAUUGUGAGACCUCAUUUCAAAAUUUAACAAAAAAAAGAAAAAAGGAAGCAAUAUGUAUAUAUUUGGAAGGCUAGAUAUGAUGCUGCUGCCUUUGGGGAAGGUAACAAAAUCAUUUUGGUGAAAAUUGGGGAACACAGGUAGGUGGGAUGGAGGCUUUCAUAUUUUACUUUCUGAAGUUCUCUGUUGCAAUGCUUCUCAAUCUAUAGUGAAGAAACACAUUUGGGAAACUAGUGUGGAAUGAUACUUCUGUAAAAAUCCAAUAAAGAUAUUAGUA